rnacentral:rRNA from 1 species
GGUUAAGCGACUAAGCGUACACGGUGGAUGCCCUGGCAGUCAGAGGCGAUGAAGGGCGUGCUAAUCUGCGAUAAGCGCCGGUAAGGUGAUAUGAACCGUUAUAACCGGCGAUACCCGAAUGGGGAAACCCAGUGUGACUCGUCACACUAUCAUUAACUGAAUCCAUAGGUUAAUGAGGCGAACCGGGGGAACUGAAACAUCUAAGUACCCCGAGGAAAAGAAAUCAACCGAGAUUCCCCCAGUAGCGGCGAGCGAACGGGGAGGAGCCCAGAGCCUGAAUCAGCAUGUGUGUUAGUGGAAGCGUCUGGAAAGGCGCGCGAUACAGGGUGACAGCCCCGUACACAAAAGCGCAUGUGCUGUGAGCUCGAUGAGUAGGGCGGGACACGUGGUAUCCUGUCUGAAUAUGGGGGGACCAUCCUCCAAGGCUAAAUACUCCUGACUGACCGAUAGUGAACCAGUACCGUGAGGGAAAGGCGAAAAGAACCCCGGCGAGGGGAGUGAAAAAGAACCUGAAACCGUGUACGUACAAGCAGUGGGAGCACAGGUUUACCUGUGUGACUGCGUACCUUUUGUAUAAUGGGUCAGCGACUUAUAUUCUGUAGCAAGGUUAACCGUAUAGGGGAGCCGGAGGGAAACCGAGUCUUAACCGGGCGUUAAGUUGCAGGGUAUAGACCCGAAACCCGGUGAUCUAGCCAUGGGCAGGUUGAAGGUUGGGUAACACUAACUGGAGGACCGAACCGACUAAUGUUGAAAAAUUAGCGGAUGACCUGUGGCUGGGGGUGAAAGGCCAAUCAAACCGGGAGAUAGCUGGUUCUCCCCGAAAGCUAUUUAGGUAGCGCCUCGUGAACUCAUCUCCGGGGGUAGAGCACUGUUUCGGCUAGGGGGCCAUCCCGGCUUACCAACCCGAUGCAAACUGCGAAUACCGGAGAAUGUUAUCACGGGAGACACACGGCGGGUGCUAACGUCCGUCGUGAAGAGGGAAACAACCCAGACCGCCAGCUAAGGUCCCAAAGUCAUGGUUAAGUGGGAAACGAUGUGGGAAGGCCCAGACAGCCAGGAUGUUGGCUUAGAAGCAGCCAUCAUUUAAAGAAAGCGUAAUAGCUCACUGGUCGAGUCGGCCUGCGCGGAAGAUGUAACGGGGCUAAACCAUGCACCGAAGCUGCGGCAGCGACGCUGAUGCGUUGUUGGGUAGGGGAGCGUUCUGUAAGCCUGUGAAGGUGUGUCGUGAGGCAUGCUGGAGGUAUCAGAAGUGCGAAUGCUGACAUAAGUAACGAUAAAGCGGGUGAAAAGCCCGCUCGCCGGAAGACCAAGGGUUCCUGUCCAACGUUAAUCGGGGCAGGGUGAGUCGACCCCUAAGGCGAGGCCGAAAGGCGUAGUCGAUGGGAAACGGGUUAAUAUUCCCGUACUUGGUGUUACUGCGAAGGGGGGACGGAGAAGGCUAUGUUGGCCGGGCGACGGUUGUCCCGGUUUAAGCGUGUAGGUGUGUGUUCCAGGUAAAUCCGGUUCACUUUAACACUGAGGCGUGACGACGAGGCACUACGGUGCUGAAGCAACAAAUGCCCUGCUUCCAGGAAAAGCCUCUAAGCAUCAGGUAACAUCAAAUCGUACCCCAAACCGACACAGGUGGUCAGGUAGAGAAUACCAAGGCGCUUGAGAGAACUCGGGUGAAGGAACUAGGCAAAAUGGUGCCGUAACUUCGGGAGAAGGCACGCUGACACGUAGGUGAAGUGAUUUACUCAUGGAGCUGAAGUCAGUCGAAGAUACCAGCUGGCUGCAACUGUUUAUUAAAAACACAGCACUGUGCAAACACGAAAGUGGACGUAUACGGUGUGACGCCUGCCCGGUGCCGGAAGGUUAAUUGAUGGGGUCAGCGCAAGCGAAGCUCCUGAUCGAAGCCCCGGUAAACGGCGGCCGUAACUAUAACGGUCCUAAGGUAGCGAAAUUCCUUGUCGGGUAAGUUCCGACCUGCACGAAUGGCGUAAUGAUGGCCAGGCUGUCUCCACCCGAGACUCAGUGAAAUUGAACUCGCUGUGAAGAUGCAGUGUACCCGCGGCAAGACGGAAAGACCCCGUGAACCUUUACUAUAGCUUGACACUGAACAUUGAGCCUUGAUGUGUAGGAUAGGUGGGAGGCUUUGAAGUGUGGACGCCAGUCUGCAUGGAGCCGACCUUGAAAUACCACCCUUUAAUGUUUGAUGUUCUAACGUGGACCCGUAAUCCGGGUUGCGGACAGUGUCUGGUGGGUAGUUUGACUGGGGCGGUCUCCUCCUAAAGAGUAACGGAGGAGCACGAAGGUUGGCUAAUCCUGGUCGGACAUCAGGAGGUUAGUGCAAUGGCAUAAGCCAGCUUGACUGCGAGCGUGACGGCGCGAGCAGGUGCGAAAGCAGGUCAUAGUGAUCCGGUGGUUCUGAAUGGAAGGGCCAUCGCUCAACGGAUAAAAGGUACUCCGGGGAUAACAGGCUGAUACCGCCCAAGAGUUCAUAUCGACGGCGGUGUUUGGCACCUCGAUGUCGGCUCAUCACAUCCUGGGGCUGAAGUAGGUCCCAAGGGUAUGGCUGUUCGCCAUUUAAAGUGGUACGCGAGCUGGGUUUAGAACGUCGUGAGACAGUUCGGUCCCUAUCUGCCGUGGGCGCUGGAGAACUGAGGGGGGCUGCUCCUAGUACGAGAGGACCGGAGUGGACGCAUCACUGGUGUUCGGGUUGUCAUGCCAAUGGCACUGCCCGGUAGCUAAAUGCGGAAGAGAUAAGUGCUGAAAGCAUCUAAGCACGAAACUUGCCCCGAGAUGAGUUCUCCCUGAGACUUAGAGUCUCCUGAAGGAACGUUGAAGACGACGACGUUGAUAGGCCGGGUGUGUAAGCGCAGCGAUGCGUUGAGCUAACCGGUACUAAUGAACCGUGAGGCUUAACCUU